AGGGGAGUCGUCCAACGGCUAGGACUCCGGUCUCCAAAACCGGGUAUGGGGGUUCGAGUCCCUCCUCCCCUGCCA
rnacentral:tRNA from 2 species